AGCGAACGCUGGCGGCAAGCCUAACACAUGCAAGUCGAACGAACCUUUCGGGGUUAGUGGCGGACGGGUGCGUAACACGUGGGAACGUGCCUUUAGGUUCGGAAUAACUCAGGGAAACUUGUGCUAAUACCGAAUGUGCCCUUCGGGGGAAAGAUUUAUCGCCUUUAGAGCGGCCCGCGUCUGAUUAGCUAGUUGGUUGAGGUAAUGGCUCACCAAGGCGACGAUCAGUAGCUGGUCUGAGAGGAUGAUCAGCCACAUUGGGACUGAGACACGGCCCAAACUCCUACGGGAGGAAGCAGUGGGGAAUCUGGCGAAAUGGGCGAAAGCCUGACGCAGCCAUGCCGCGUGAAUGAUGAAGGUCUUAGGAUUGUAAAAUUCUUUCACCGGGGACGAUAAUGACGGUACCCGGAGAAGAAGCCCCGGCUAACUGCGU
rnacentral:rRNA from 1 species